rnacentral:rRNA from 1 species
GUGAGGAAUAUUGGACAAUGGGCGCAAGCCUGAUCCAGCCAUGCCGCGUGCAGGAAGACGCAUCUAUGGUGUGUAAACUGCUUUUGUACGGGAAGAAACACUCCCUCGUGAGGGAGCUUGACGGUACCGUAAGAAUAAGGAUCGGCUAACUCCGUGCCAGCAGCCGCGGUAAUACGGAGGAUCCAAGCGUUAUCCGGAAUCAUUGGGUUUAAAGGGUCCGUAGGCGGUUUAAUAAGUCAGUGGUGAAAGCCCAUCGCUCAAAGAUGGAACGGCCAUUGAUACUGUUAGACUUGAAUUACAAGGAAGUAACUAGAAUAUGUAGUGUAGCGGUGAAAUGCUUAGAUAUUACAUGGAAUACCAAUUGCGAAGGCAGGUUACUACUUGUGGAUUGACGCUGAUGGACGAAAGCGUGGGGAGCGAACAGGAUUAGAUACCCUAGUAGUCC